UACGUAGGGGGCAAGCGUUGUCCGGAGUUACUGGGCGUAAAGCGCACGCAGGCGGUCUCUUAAGUUUGGAGUGACAGUUGGUGGCUUAACUGCCAAAGUGCUUCGAAAACUGAGAGACUUGAGGGCUUCAGAGGGACACGGAAUUCCGGGUGGAGUGGUGAAAUGCGUAGAGAUCCGGAGGAACACCGGUGGCGAAAGCGGCGCGCUGGACCUCUUCUGACGCUGAGGCGCGAAAGCCAGGGGAGCAAACGGG
rnacentral:rRNA from 1 species